GAUGAACGCUAGCUACAGGCUUAACACAUGCAAGUCGAGGGGCAGCAGGAUCUAGCAAUAGAUUGCUGGCGACCGGCGCACGGGUGAGUAACACGCAUCCAACCUGCCGAUAACUCGGGGAUAGCCUUUCGAAAGAAAGAUUAAUACCCGAUGGCAUAAUUAGACCGCAUGGUUUGAUUAUUAAAGAAUUUCGGUUAUCGAUGGGGAUGCGUUCCAUUAGGCAGUUGGUGAGGUAACGGCUCACCAAACCUUCGAUGGAUAGGGGUUCUGAGAGGAAGGUCCCCCACAUUGGAACUGAGACACGGUCCAAACUCCUACGGGAGGCAGCAGUGAGGAAUAUUGGUCAAUGGGCGCAGGCCUGAACCAGCCAAGUAGCGUGAAGGAUGACUGCCCUAUGGGUUGUAAACUUCUUUUAUAUGGGAAUAAAGUUUUCCACGUGUGGAAUUUUGUAUGUACCAUAUGAAUAAGGAUCGGCUAACUCCGUGCCAGCAGCCGCGGUAAUACGGAGGAUUCCGAGCGUUAUCCGGAUUUAUUGGGUUUAAAGGGAGCGUAGGUGGACAGUUAAGUCAGUUGUGAAAGUUUGCGGCUCAACCGUAAAAUUGCAGUUGAUACUGGCUGUCUUGAGUACAGUAGAGGUGGGCGGAAUUCGUGGUGUAGCGGUGAAAUGCUUAGAUAUCACGAAGAACUCCGAUUGCGAAGGCAGCUCACUGGACUGCAACUGACACUGAUGCUCGAAAGUGUGGGUAUCAAACAGGAUUAGAUACCCUGGUAGUCCACACAGUAAACGAUGAAUACUCGCUGUUUGCGAUAUACAGUAAGCGGCCAAGCGAAAGCAUUAAGUAUUCCACCUGGGGAGUACGCCGGCAACGGUGAAACUCAAAGGAAUUGACGGGGGCCCGCACAAGCGGAGGAACAUGUGGUUUAAUUCGAUGAUACGCGAGGAACCUUACCCGGGCUUAAAUUGCAUUUGAAUAUAUUGGAAACAGUAUAGCCGUAAGGCAAAUGUGAAGGUGCUGCAUGGUUGUCGUCAGCUCGUGCCGUGAGGUGUCGGCUUAAGUGCCAUAACGAGCGCAACCCUUAUCUUUAGUUACUAACAGGUCAUGCUGAGGACUCUAGAGAGACUGCCGUCGUAAGAUGUGAGGAAGGUGGGGAUGACGUCAAAUCAGCACGGCCCUUACGUCCGGGGCUACACACGUGUUACAAUGGGGGGUACAGAAGGCAGCUACCUGGUGACAGGAUGCUAAUCCCAAAAGCCUCUCUCAGUUCGGAUCGAAGUCUGCAACCCGACUUCGUGAAGCUGGAUUCGCUAGUAAUCGCGCAUCAGCCAUGGCGCGGUGAAUACGUUCCCGGGCCU
rnacentral:rRNA from 1 species